GGUUUCCGUAGGUGAACCUGCGGAAAGGAUCAUUG
rnacentral:rRNA from 1 species